rnacentral:rRNA from 1 species
CUACGUGCCAGCAGCCGCGGUAAUACGUAGGGCGCGAGCGUUGUCCGGAAUUAUUGGGCGUAAAGGGCACGCAGGCGGUGACUUAAGUGAGGUGUGAAAGCCCCGGGCUUAACCUGGGAAUUGCAUUUCAUACUGGGUCGCUAGAGUACUUUAGGGAGGGGUAGAAUUCCACGUGUAGCGGUGAAAUGCGUAGAGAUGUGGAGGAAUACCGAAGGCGAAGGCAGCCCCUUGGGAAUGUACUGACGCUCAUGUGCGAAAGCGUGGGGAGCAAACAGGAUUAGAUACCCUGGUAGUCCACGCUGCAAACGAUGUCGAUUUGGGGGUUGAGCUUUGAGCUUGGCGCCCGUAGCUAACGUGAUAAAUCGACCGCCUGGGGAGUACGGCCGCAAGGUUAAAACUCAAAUGAAUUGACGGGGGCCCGCACAAGCGGUGGAGCAUGUGGUUUAAUUCGAUGCAACGCGAAGAACCUUACCUACUCUUGACAUCCAGAGAACAUUC